CAGAUCAGAAUGCUGCGGUGAAUACGUUCCCGGGUCUUGUACACACCGCCCGUCACACCAUGGGAGUCGGAAAUGCCCGAAGCCGGUGACCAAACCAAUAAGGAAGGAGCCGUCGAAGGCAGGUCUGAUAACUGGGGUGAAGUCGUAACAAGGUAGC
rnacentral:rRNA from 1 species